AGAGAUCCUGGAGACGCCCAAGUCCACUAAACUGCGAGGAGUGAAACCCAAAAAGGUGCUGCAUGUUUCUCUAACCUCGGUACAGUGGUUAAUGUUAUGAUGGUUGAACGUGGUAACCGUGGUAACCGUGGCUCUGAAUGGCCUGCACCGCCCGCUGCAUGGCAACAGGGCUUCUCGCAUCCUCAUUUACCCAUGAUUCCCGGCAGCUCGCCACACCGCCGCCGCUGGUCUGUUGUCCUGAGGUGUCCUGUGUUUGUGUGAAUGGAAGCUGAAUGGAAGCUUCAUCGUCACCUCAUCAAAAGCUCUCUGCUCUGGUCCGUCUGGUCCGUCUGCCUUCUGUGCAUGUUGAAGUAAAAAAAAAAAAAAAAAAAAA